GUAAACGGCGGCCGUAACUAUAACGGUCCUAAGGUAGCGAAAUUCCUUGUCGGGUAAGUUCCGACCCGCAUGAAAGGCGUAAUGAUUUGGGCACUGUCUCAACGAGGGGCCCGGUGAAAUUGAAAUACCUGUGAAGAUGCAGGUUACCCGCGACUGGACAGAAAGACCCCAUGGAGCUUCACUGCAGCUUGAGAUUGAAUCCCGGUGACAGAUGCACAGGAUAGGUGGGAGGCGCCGAAGCAUUGCCCUAGGGCGGUGCGGAGCCGAUGUUGGGAUACCACCCUUCUGUUGCUGAGAUUCUAACGCGAGGAGUAACGACCCUGCGGACCCUCUCAGGCAGGCGGUUUGACUGGGGCGGUCGCCUCCGAAAGAGUAACGGAGGCGCCCAAAGGUUCCCUCAGGCCGGACAGAAACCGGCCGAAGAGUGCAAAGGCAGAAGGGAGCUUGACUGCGAGACCAACAAGUCGAGCAGAGACGAAAGUCGGGCUUAGUGAUCCGGUGGUACUGAGUGGAAAGGCCAUCGCUCAACGGAUAAAAGCUACCCUGGGGAUAACAGGCUAAUCUCUCCCAAGAGUUCAUAUCGACGGGGAGGUUUGGCACCUCGAUGUCGGCUCAUCACAUCCUGGGGCUGGAGUAGGUCCCAAGGGUUGGGCUGUUCGCCCAUUAAAGUGGUACGCGAGCUGGGUUCAAAACGUCGUGAGACAGUUUGGUUCAUAUCCAUCGCGGGCGCAAGAAGUUUGAGAGGAGCUGCUCCUAGUACGAGAGGACCGGAGUGGACGGAUCAACGGUGUCCCAGUUGUCACGCCAGUGGCACGGCUGGAAAGCCGCAUCCGGGAAGGAUAAACGCUGAAAGCAUCUAAGCGCGAAGCCAACCUCAAGAUGAGACUUCUCAUCAGCAAUGAGUAAGACCCCUUACAGACGAUGAGGUAGAUAGGUUAUGAGUGGAAGAGCCGCAAGGCUUGGAGCGACAUAAAACUAAUAGGUCGAGGUCUUAACUUA
rnacentral:rRNA from 1 species